AAUAGAUACCCGGGUAGUCCACGCCGUAAACGAUGAGUGCUAAGUGUUGGGGGGUUUCCGCCCCUCAGUGCUGCAGCUAACGCAUUAAGCACUCCGCCUGGGGAGUACGGUCGCAAGACUGAAACUCAAAGGAAUUGACGGGGGCCCGCACAAGCGGUGGAGCAUGUGGUUUAAUUCGAAGCAACGCGAAGAACCUUACCGGGUCUUGACAUCCCGGUGACCACUAUGGAGACAUAGUUUCCCCUUCGGGGGCAACGGUGACAGGUGGUGCAUGGUUGUCGUCAGCUCGUGUCGUGAGAUGUUGGGUUAAGUCCCGCAACGAGCGCAACCCUUAUUCUUAGUUGCCAUCAUUCAGUUGGGCACUCUAAGGAGACUGCCGGUGAUAAACCGGAGGAAGGUGGGGAUGACGUCAAAUCAUCAUGCCCCUUAUGACCUGGGCUACACACGUGCUACAAUGGACGGUACAAACGGUUGCCAACCCGCGAGGGGGAGCUAAUCCGAUAAAACCGUUCUCAGUUCGGAUUGUAGGCUGCAACUCGCCUACA
rnacentral:rRNA from 1 species